UAUAAACAAAACUAUUCGCCAGAGUACUACCGGCAAUAGCUUAAAACUCAAAGGACUGGCGGUGCUUUAUACCCUUCUAGAGGAGCCUGUUCUAUAAUCGAUAAACCCCGAUAAACCUCACCAUUCCUUGCUAAUCCAGUCUAUAUACCGCCAUCUUCAGCAAACCCUAAAAAGGUACAAAAGUAAGCACAAUCAUAAUACAUAAAGACGUUAGGUCAAGGUGUAACCUAUGGAAUGGAAAGAAAUGGGCUACAUUUUCUAAUAUAAGAAAAUCCACUACGAAAGUUAUUAUGAAAUUAGUAACCAAAGGAGGAUUUAGCAGUAAACUAAGAAUAG
rnacentral:rRNA from 1 species